UUCUCGAAUUUAGAAGAGCUACUUAUUUUGUUGUAAUAACCAUUUAAAAUUUGAAAUUAAACGUUAAUAUAUCUAGUUUUCUAAGAAAAUUAAAUUUUAUUAUUUUUUUAGGGAUAAGCUUGGAAUAGGAUUAGAAGUUUUGUUAUAUUCAAUUUAUUAGAAUUUAAAAUUUAAUUUAUUUUGUAAAAAUGUUUGUAUAAGUAUAAGGUUAGAAUAAGGAAUUCGGCAAAAAUUUUUCACCUGUUUAUUAAAAACAUGGCCUUUUGAUUAUAAUUUAAGGUCUAGCCUGCCCUAUGAGGCCGCGGUACUUUGACCGUGCAAAGGUAGCAUAAUAAUUAGUUUCUUAAUUAGAAGCUGGAAUGAAUGGCUGAAUGAAAAAAUGACUGUCUCUUUUUAAUAGAAUUUUAUUUUUGAGUUAAAAAGCUUAAAUGAUAUUAAAAGACGAGAAGACCCUAUAGAGUUUAAUUUUGGUUGGGGCGAUUGAAAAAUUAAUUUAACUUUUGAUUACAAGAAAAAAUUACCUUAGGGAUAACAGCGUAAUCUUUCUAAGAGUUCAUAUUGAAAGAAGGGAUUGCGACCUCGA
rnacentral:rRNA from 1 species